GAGGCGGGGCCGCCCCUUCAGUCAGAGCGGGUAGAGGUGCAAGAAAGCGGGCGGGAUGCAGCGCCGGUGACUGUCGCCUCUCUUUGCUUCUCCGCACCAUCCCAGCCCCGUCCACCGGCUGCUGCCCCUGCGGCCAUGGAGACCGUGCAGUUGCGCCACCCGCGCCGGCAGCUAAGAAAAUUAGAUGAAGAUAGUUUGACAAAACAGCCUGAAGAAGUGUUUGAUGUACUAGAGAAACUUGGAGAAGGAUCCUAUGGCAGCGUAUUCAAAGCUAUCCAUAAAGAAACAGGCCAAGUUGUUGCAAUUAAGCAAGUUCCUGUUGAGUCUGAUUUGCAGGAGAUUAUUAAGGAGAUAUCAAUAAUGCAGCAGUGUGAUAGUCCUCAUGUAGUCAAAUAUUAUGGCAGCUAUUUUAAGAACACGGACCUCUGGAUAGUAAUGGAAUAUUGCGGUGCCGGAUCUGUGUCUGAUAUAAUUCGACUACGAAAUAAAACGUUGAUGGAAGACGAAAUUGCUACAAUAAUACAAUCAACACUGAAAGGACUGGAAUACCUACAUUUCAUGAGGAAAAUACACCGUGACAUCAAAGCUGGCAACAUAUUACUCAAUACAGAAGGCCACGCUAAACUUGCAGAUUUUGGGGUAGCCGGCCAGCUUACUGAUACUAUGGCAAAAAGAAACACUGUGAUAGGAACUCCAUUCUGGAUGGCACCUGAAGUGAUCCAAGAAAUUGGAUACAAUUGUCUGGCAGACAUCUGGUCUCUGGGUAUCACUGCUAUUGAAAUGGCUGAAGGAAAACCUCCAUAUGCUGAUAUUCAUCCAAUGAGGGCAAUUUUCAUGAUUCCGACAAAUCCACCACCAACAUUUCGAAAGCCAGAACUGUGGUCAGACGAAUUUACAGAUUUUGUAAAACAGUGUCUUGUGAAGUGUCCAGAACAAAGGGCCACUGCUACGCAGUUGCUUCAGCACCCAUUUGUAAAAAAUGCCAAAGGAGUUUUCAUCCUGCGAGAUAUGAUUAACGAGGCAAUGGAUAUUAAACUAAAAAUUCAGCAAGCUCAACAGCGUGACAUGUAUCACGAUGAUGAAGAAAAUUCAGAAGAAGAUGAACCUGAUGCUAGGACCAUGGUUCGAGCAAGGGGACAAGAGACUGGUACAAUCAGAGCUGCUUGCGGAAUGAGCGAUGAUAUCAAUACCAUGAUAGAAUACAAUGACACUUUAGAAUCACGAUUAGGAACAAUGGUCAUAAAUGAUGAGGAAGAUGAGGGGACAAUGAAGAGGAGAGAUGAAACCAUGCAGUCUGUCAGACCAUCUUUCCUCGAAUAUUUUGAACAAAAGGAAAAAGAGAAUCGGCGAAACAGCUAUGGAAGACAGGUACCUGAAAGAUGUUCCUCAGAUUGGAGAGUUCCUCUGGAUGGUGAUUAUGAAUUUAGGAUUGAUUCAGGCUCUUAGAAGCUCAAUAUAGUUAAUGUGUCGGUAAAUUGAAACUGCAAGAUUUGAUUUCUCAUCAGUUGUGAAUGCUAUGGAAUCAGUUCCUGCAGCUUACAAAGUAUUCUAUGGCUUAAUUGAGGAACUGGACCGUUGACGAACUUCAAAGACGACUUGGGGCACUUGAUCCCAUGAUGGAGCAGGAGAUAGAAGAAGUUCGCCAAAGGUAUCAGUCAAAGCGGCAACCAAUUCUAGAUGCUAUUGAAGCAAAGAAAAGACGCCAACAGAACUUCUGAGGAAAACUUGGCAGUAGAAUAGAUGUCCAUCAUUCCUAACAAUAAACUGUUGUUCUGCGA